rnacentral:rRNA from 1 species
UACAGAGGUCUCAAGCGUUGUUCGGAUUCAUUGGGCGUAAAGGGUGCGUAGGUGGCGCGGUAAGUCGGGUGUGAAAUCUCGGAGCUUAACUCCGAAAUUUGCAUUCGAUACUGCCGUGCUCGAGGACUGGAGAGGAGACUGGAAUUCAUGGUGUAGCAGUGAAAUGCGUAGAGAUCAAUGAGGAAGACCAGUGGCGAAGGCGGGGUCGCUGGA